rnacentral:lncRNA from 1 species
CCAUUUAUAGUUCAAUCUAACAACCAGAACUAAACUUGACAGAGGAACUAAUCAAGACAUAGGACGAACGAUUUUGUGAAAAAAAAAUGUAGUUUCAAAAGUUGCUGCUAGGAAAAAUUGAUACUUUUAUUGCCUUGGUAGCCAAGAAUUUGCAUAAGAUGCAGUUAAAAGCUUCUAAUGCAAAUUAUUGGUUAUGUUGAUUAUAAUAGCACCAGUGAUUCAGGCUAUAAAGGCAUGGGGAAAGUUCGAAAAGACAUUCCAAUGACAUCUCAGCUCAAAAUGUAUCUGACAUUACCUCAGUGUGCAUUACUUAUGAAAUUAUUUUAUCUUCACCAAUCCAAUGUGGCAACUACGCUUUGUGAGUAUAGAACCCAUUACAACUUGCAUAAAGACCCACUUAUCAGUUAAUGCAUUGAAGAAAUCCAUGAUUCAAAAAUUUGAAGAAACAGGACUGCUAAUAGUUCAAUCUGGCAGAAGACAGAAACCAGUAUCAGAACAGACAAUUACAGACAUUGAACAGCAUUUGUUAAUAGCACAAAGGUGAUCCUUGCUGGUAGCAGCAGUGCCUGUGGAGUAGUGCGAUAAUUGAAUUUGAAUAUUGUCAUGGUAUAGAAAGUCUUGUGGAAAGUUCUCCACUUGUAUCCAUAUAAGAACAACUAUGUACAGUAACUCCAAC